UGGGGAAUUUUGGACAAUGGGCGAAAGCCUGAUCCAGCAAUGCCGCGUGUGUGAAGAAGGCCUUCGGGUUGUAAAGCNCUUUUGUCCGGAAAGAAAUCCUUGGCUCUAAUACAGUCGGGGGAUGACGGUACGGAAGAAUAAGCACCGGCUAACUACGUGCCAGCAGCCGCGGUAAUACGUAGGGUGCAAGCGUUAAUCGGAAUUACUGGGCGUAAAGCUGCGCAGGCGGUUUGCUAAGACCGAUGUGAAAUCCCCGGGCUCAACCUGGGAACUGCAUUGGUGACUGGCAGGCUAGAGUAUGGCAGAGGGGGGUAGAAUUCCACGUGUAGCAGUGAAAUGCGUAGAGAUGUGGAGGAAUACCGAUGGCGAAGGCAGCCCCCUGGGCCAAUACUGACGCUCAUGCACGAAAGCGUGGGGGAGCAAACAGGAUUAGAUACCCUGGUAGUCCACGCCCUAAAACGAUGUCAACUAGUUGUUGGGGAUUCAUUUCCUUAGUAACGUAGCUAACGCGUGAAGUUGACCGCCUGGGGGAGUACGGUCGCAAGAUUAAAACUCAAAGGAAUUGACGGGGUCAUAGCUGUUUCCU
rnacentral:rRNA from 1 species